UAUUGUACCUCUUUUUCAGACUUAUUCUCAUUGAUUUCAAUUAGUCGAGCUAGUUAUAGAGCAAUUCAUGGAAGCCCCGGUGUUAUCUGACGCUGUAAACUCAUUGGAUCCGUUGCAUAAAAGGCGUUACGUGGAAAAGCUUCAGUUUAUCCAUUCGCCAGAUCCGUAUUUGAUGCCUAAAUCGAUGUUUUUCGACCCGCUGGCUUCGCCUGACAUCUGAUACCCACACAAAAUCAGCCUAUUCUCACGAAAGUUUGAAAAACUUUAAGAGCUUGGAGGCUUAUAAAUGCUACGUUGCUGGUUAGGUGAAACACGUCCUCGCACACGAAAAUUCGGCAGGAAUCUUGUGCUCGGAAGGCUCCAGCCGAUGAUGUAGAUGUUGCACUCAACGGCAACCUUAUCCGUGACUUUGCAUCGUAAGGUGCCGUGUCGCACUAUGGUUGGAAGGGGGCAAUGGACGUCAUAGAAGGGAGUCAGUGCACAGUUCUGUUGUUUGUUUGUUUGCAGCUGCAAAACGCUGUUAGGCAAGCAAAGACAACUUGAUGUGCCCACAACAUCACUUGCUGUACGUUGACUGACAUACAUCGAGACUACGUGCAUUUUACUUUUUACACAUGCUGCCUGAAGUUGUGGAUGACUGAUGGAAGGCUCCAGUUAUGCUCCACAUUCGUUAAUGUUUGAGUAAUAACUU